GGGGGAUAUUGCACAAUGGGGGAAACCCUGAUGCAGCGACGCCGCGUGAGUGAAGACGGCCUUCGGGUUGUAAAGCUCUGUUGAGGGGGACGAUAAUGACGGUACCCCUUUAGAAAGCCACGGCUAACUACGUGCCAGCAGCCGCGGUAAUACGUAGGUGGCGAGCGUUGUCCGGAAUUACUGGGUGUAAAGGGAGCGUAGGCGGGGGUUUAAGUUGGAUGUGAAAUACCGCGGCUCAACCGCGGGGCUGCAUCCAAAACUGGACUUCUUGAGUGAAGUAGAGGCAAGCGGAAUUCCUAGUGUAGCGGUGAAAUGCGUAGAUAUUAGGAGGAACACCAGUGGCGAAGGCGGCUUGCUGGGCUUUUACUGACGCUGAGGCUCGAAAGCGUGGGGAGCAAAC
rnacentral:rRNA from 1 species